UUCGACUAGGGGGUCAUCCCGACUUACCAACUCGAUGCAAACUACGAAUACCGAAGAAUGUUAUCACGGGAGACACACGGCGGGUGCUAACGUUCGUCGUGAAGAGGGAAACAACCCAGACCGCCAGCUAAGGUCCCAAAGUCAUAGUUAAGUGGGAAACGAAGUGGGAAGGCUCAGACAGCCAGGAUGUUGGCUUAGAAGCAGCCAUCAUUUAAAGAAAGCGUAAUAGCUCACUGGUCGAGUCGGCCUGCGCGGAAGAUGUAACGGGGCUAAACUAUGCACCGAAGCUGCGGCAGCGAACGUAUCACUUAAACUGAUUAAGUGAUACUCAAAUGUAUCAAAACGAUUGACGGAGCGAAGCGACGUCAAUGCGUCCAACAAAGUCGAGGCGGAAACGUCAGGCAGUCAGUUUAAGGAUACGUUCGUUGGGUAGGGGAGCGUUCUGUAAGCCUGUGAAGGUGUGCUGUGAGGCAUGCUGGAGGUAUCAGAAGUGCGAAUGCUGACAUAAGUAACGAUAAUGCGGGUGAAAAACCCGCACGCCGGAAGACCAAGGGUUCCUGUCCAACGUUAAUCGGGGCAGGGUGAGUCGACCCCUAAGGCGAGGCAGAAAUGCGUAGUCGAUGGGAAACGGGUUAAUAUUCCCGUACUGGUGAUAAUUGCGAUGGGGGGACGGAGAAGGCUAGGCUAUCCGGGCGACGGUUGUCCCGGUUUAAGGAUGUAGGCAGGUGAAUUAGGCAAAUCCGGUUCACUAUAUGCUGAGGUCCGACGACGAGUCACUACGGUGAUGAAGUAGCUCAUGCCCCGCUUCCAGGAAAAGCCUCUAAGCUCUAGAUUAUCAUUAAUCGUACCCCAAACCGACACAGGUGGUCAGGUAGAGAAUACUCAGGCGCUUGAGAGAACUCGGGUGAAGGAACUAGGCAAAA
rnacentral:rRNA from 1 species